rnacentral:tRNA from 1 species
GGGCGAGUGGCGGAAUGGCAGACGCGCACGCUUCAGGAGCGUGUGGGAUUAUUCCCGUGGAGGUUCGACUCCUCUCUCGCCCACCA